rnacentral:lncRNA from 1 species
AAGUUAUUUUUGGUUAGAAUAUGUUAUAAUACAAUGAAUUUGAUUGAUUACAAGUGCUAGAGAUGCAUAAAGAAUGUAUAAAAGUAAGAAGCAAGACUUGUUGAUAUUUGGUCCCGAAUGAGAUAAGAACCCAAAACCAUUGCUUUGAGGCAGUGAAUGGCUUGUAUAAAGUUAUUUUGGGUUAGAAUAUGUUAUAAUACAAUGAAUUUGAUUGAUUAC